UCUCACCUAUUCACACGGACAUCUAUUACAAAAGCUUUUUUCAUACAAACAUCUGUAUCUGAAUGAAAUACACACCGAAACCGAAAUCUGUGUGAAUCUAUUUUGGUGAAGCGGCCAAGUCUUUUGAGAUUUUAACAAGGCGGGGAACAAAAAUUUCGAAGUUGCACGCUUGGAGUAUUUUCCUCACUUCCUCACUUCAGUUCUCAACCCCGACCCCAAACUCGGCCUCCUCCUCCAUUCUCAAGCUCAGACCCUAACCACACCUUUCUCCCCCUCCGCCUCUGCCUCCUCCGACUUGACCCUUACCUCCUCCAGCCCCAUCCUCCGCCAAAUUUCACUCCCCCAAAAUCCCGCAAAAUCAAAUAAAGAUUAGAAUUCUCUGGCUCCACCAUUUCCAACUCUUUCAUAGCUCCGUCUGCUCCUCCCUCGCUGGAAAUUCACCAAUCGGGACCUUAAAGCCCAGUCGUUCUUCCAAGGCUUCAGAUCCAGGGAGCUACACAGAUCCCGAGGUCGGUUCGCUCUUUAAUUUUGCAUCUCAUUUCUCGCUCUCUAUAUCAGAAAUUCCUCAACAGCUUCUGCGAAUCCUUGCCGUACCUUGGUCUCAUCCUCGUCGCCGGCAGCUAGGGUUUUCUCAUAUACUUCCACUCCGAUCACUGCCACCCUCUUCCCUGGCGAUGCUAUCAGCCCUGAGAUCAUCGAGUCUGUCAAAUAGGUCGUUAGAGUUGUUGUUUUGGCCCUGAGGAACUUGCUCUCCAAACGGACACUUGGUGUUCAAAUGGUGGACCUUGGACUGCCUCAAAUUGUUCAGAGUUUGAAAGCACUAACAUGGAGUGAUGAAGUGAGUUAGAAGGUUGUAUGCCUUUUCUGUUGCUGAUAGUUCUGUGUAUUAGUUGGUGAGACUCUGUUAAAUUUGCUGCGUUGUUAGCAGCUGUUGGAAGAGUAAUUGGUUCACACAAGAGAUGAGCUAGAUACUUGCUUUAAUAGUGAGUACCAGGCCAAAACUUGAAGGAACUGUUGCAGAUGGUAAACUGAUUCAGAGAGUAAACUGAUUUGGUGGUUUUGUGAUAGAUUGAAGAAGGCCUCGGGAGUUUUCUGGAAAAGAAAAAGGGAUUGGGAGGGAAGUUUACCCAAUUUAAUUCCUUUUCUUUUUAAUAUGUUUGUAAAAAUUUUCAAUUUUUGUUGGCAUGAUGGGGUUUAUUUUCCCCUUCUUCAUUUUGACCUGGGGCGUUGUUCAUGUUUCAUGUUGCUGGUCUGAGAGUUGGCUUCUUCUAUUUAGUUUGAUUGACUUAUAUGCUUUACUUUCUUUACUGUUGAUAUUGGUGGGUACACAAUGAACUUCUUAAUUGUUUCUUCAUUUUGUUUGUCUAAAAAUCCAAGGGGUGAAAGGAAAUUUUUUUUUUCUUCCCUGGAUCUGUUCAAGCUUAAUAUUUCUGAUUCAAAUAUUGUCACUGAAAAAAAUUAAAAAAAAGAGGUUUGUAAGGCUGAGGGUGUUCUUCUCUGCUAAUCAUAUAUAUAUAUAUGUAUAUAUUCAGCAGAGGUGUAUAUAAUGAUGGUCUCUCUUCUCUCCUUCACAGGUAUGCAACAUGAUGAAAAGAGAAAGAACAUCGCUUCAGUACAAUUAGCAGAAUAUGAAGAGUCUGAAGAAGAAUUUCGAUACUUUCCAGUUUCCAUAGCAUUUGUGGGGUAGUUGUUGGGAUAGACAAAAGAUUCAAAUGGACAAAAAAAUCAGAUUGCUGAUGUAAUUUUAUUUGUUAAUUCAUUUGCAGAAUUUUUCUUUUUUUUUUUGAAUGCCAUCACUCUUCCACACAGACAUCUAUGUGAAUUAGGAAACUAUUUCACACUGAUCAGGAUAUUAAAAUAUUAGUUUUGACUCACACGGAUUGAACCCAAUUUAAGUAUGUAUGUGGACAGACAAGUGGGACACACAUCAAAUUCCACACGGACUCCCAAAACCGUGUGAAUAGAGCAUUAGCGCCCCCUUCGGAGGCAACCGAAAAACCAUUCCGUGCUUGCACCGUAGACUGACAGCGAAGGUAGUGACGGUGAAUCCACAGAAAUCUGAUUUGAAGACCAUUUACCUUUAUUUUGUCUUCACACUUGAGAAUGCCAAGUUAUUACCAUGUCUACCGGAGAAAAUUCUGUUGGCUACGCAUAGCCAGCGUCGGCACUGAAUUGCGGUCGCCUUUGCUCUGAUAUUUACUUCGGCAAAUGAUGCCAUCGCGAAAUUAGGUUGUGCUUGCUUCGGCUACACCAAUGCGGUCGCAAAAGUAGAUUAUGUUUACGACUGUGCAUGUUUUCCGUCGCUGCAUUUCUUUUCCUUUAACGACGUCGUCUUAUUUUCUUAAGAAGAAAAGCCAUUGACUAUGCCUUUUUUGCUUCACUUCUGGUUUUCGCAUCAACCCAUCUCUCUCCCCGCAUCGACUGGAGACGCUCGAGAAGCCUCCAACCGCUGAUAGUAUCAAUCUCGUCUCACACUCGCCGCCAAUCUCACAUCUUUUGAAUAUGUGAUAUUGCCAGUUUCUCUCUCGCAAUCUCACAGUCGGCAGGUAUCCUUGCUUUGUGGUAAGUCUGUGGUACUUUGAAUGAGAGAGGGAGAGCGAAUCUGUGGUUUUGAUGGGUUUCAAUGUCCCUUAAACGCCGUCAUUUCACUGCGAUCUGAACCAUCUCCACUCUUCGCUUUAGGGGGACAAGAGGCAAGUAUUACACCUGGGACAGUGUUGUUUAUAUUGGCCGGAAGGUUUAAGUGAAAGAGAGUUGUUUUCCUUAAGCAACUUUCAUCUGGCUUGCUUCUUGUUACUGAUAAGGAUCAAGAUAGCUUGACGCCUUGACCCAUUCUCCAGCCCUGCCUCGGUUGCGACCUUUGCAGAUCAGGGACCUAAUCGAUCUACCUGACAGAGAUCGAAUUGAACCAUCUGUUCGGCGGUGUGAUCCAUGUCCUUAAUUUUUCGACCCGACGUCGGACGACUACUAUUCGAAGCUCGAAAGCUCUGAGUAUCUCGACGGGUUCUCUGUAAAUUCCGGCGGUGAUGCGGAGGAGGACCACCAAUGUUUGAAUGGUAUCGGUGUCUCGAUCACGUGUAUGGUUCGGGUUUUCACAGAGAAGCUCAGAUGAAGUUGAAUCGAAGCCGGAAGUCUCAAGCUUUCGGGCGAGCUUUCUGGGAAUUUUCUGACGAAUUCGGGUAGAGACUGAGCCAUGCAUGAGUUGGUGAAACUGAGGAGAAGGGAAUUUCUCAAGAAUUGUUGUGUUCUUGUCGUGAAGUGAGGACAACAGCUUAAGGAUUAGGCGAUGAUGAGUGCAGUAGCAGGAUU